CAAAGUCCACAUCAUCAUCAUCAUCAUCAUCAACAACACACCAGGGAGAGACUGAAAGGAAAUGGAUUAAAUAAGACAAAUCGGAGUGACACAUUCACUCUAAUGCUGUGUUGGAGAGUUAACAGAACGCAGUAGCUCAUCCACUCUUGACUUCUAAUGAGAAAUCCAGCAACAAAUCAAUAAUAGACUCAAAAAAUGAAUCAAGCACUAACUUGAGCAACGAAUCGGCCAAGGACUCCAGCAACAGGUUGAGUCCGACUCAAGCAACGACUCAAACAAAGACGCAAGCAAAGAAUCAAGCAACAACUCAAGAAAAGACUCAAUCAACGAUUUAAACAACAACUCAAGAAAAAACACGAGCAACAACUCAAGCACCAAAUACAGCAAAGAUUGAACAUAGACUAAAGCGACGUUGUGACACCAGUUGCCAGCACUUCUUGGGCGUGAUGGAGAUUCUGAGCGGUCCGUGGGCUGGUCUGACUCUGCUGCUAAGACAGACAAUGACAAAGUCUGAAGCAGAGACAGACAGCUGUCUACCAUUGUGGCUUCCAGGUCUGCUCCUGUUCCUGUCAGUCUUUGUGCUGCUGUUACAACUGAUAGUCUACCUCCACUGGAAGUUGGGCCAGGUGGAGGCUGACUUAACUGCGUUGUCACAUAACCACAGCGCCAUCUUCAGGCCGAUCCAGCGAAGUGCACACCCGAGAAGGAGGAGCGUUGGCUAACAUUAAGUUUAGCAUCAUUUUGCAAAUUGACAUUUUAGUGCCGAAUAUUCGGACACGUUUGACUGUUUUAUUUAAAGAUGAAAGGAAAUGACAAGACAAGAGUAUUAAAAUCCUUUAUUGAAAGUGUUACACAGGGAAAGAGUUGCUUUGUGUAAUACAGGACAAUUAAAUGUCUAGAAAGAAACCUAGUGUGGACACAGGUGGGCUACUGUGGAGCAGUGGGGCAGCUGGUGGACUUUCAGAACAUUCUCAUGUUUUCUUGCAAGUGUGAGUGGGAAAAUACAAAACGAUGCUGCAAGCUGGUUUUGAUUGUUGACAACAAAUUGCAUUUUACAGAUGAUUUUUUUUUUUUAAAGGCAGCAUUUGUGACUUUGCAGAGCUGCCUUGAUUUGAGAAAUCCUGGUAAAUUCACACGUACAUUUACCAGGACCACCAGGAAAGCUUUAGAUAGGCAGUCCCACUACUCCUAAUUUCUAAAAAGACAGCUACAAGAAGCUAGUGAAUGGUGUUCAUUAAAAAACAAACAUCAAAGAGAAAAUGUUAAGUUUUACAGAAGAAUAGACUGGGCAAAAUACCUCUACAGCAUGUGACGUAUUAUGCAACAUGUUUUCUUAUUUAUUUUAAAAUCUUCUUUGCCAGAAGAUCAAACUGGAAUGUCAUUGCAAUGCAAAUGUUGAAUACAGAAACAAUAAGAAUAACACUUGGGGUUCAAAAAAUUAUAUUUAAAAGUGUACUCAAACAAAUCAAAUUCAAAUGUUUUUACUCCAGUCAAAACAGGACAGUGUGGCUCAAUCUAUAGACACGGAAUGUUAUGUAGUUUUUUAAAAUGUUCAUAUUUAUCUUAGUGCUAAUCACGAUUAUGUGCAUCUUUCACCCUUUCAAUGCUGCGUUCACUGCCCCUUGUUGUGUGUAAAAAGCAGCACCGUCAAACCUAAAACAGGCUGAUUUUUUUUUUUUAAAUGACAUCACAAUUGCAAAACUUUCAUUUAGCUAAGCACAAAAUAUGACUUUAGUCUAGACAAACGGUACCAGUGGUGAUCAUGUGAUCUAUACAUGUUUAGUUUCUUGUUUUCCGUUUUUACGUUCAGUAUACUAAAUAGUUUUACCUUGACAUGUUUCAACUGUCAACUGGUGUCUUCUCAUACCUGACAAUAUUUGCAUUUCAAAGAGAUAUUUUCUGGAAAGCAAGGGACAAUUCUAAGGGUUUCCCAGUACAACGUUUUCAGUUCCGAUACUGAUAUUGGAGCCUUGAGUAUUGGCAGAUUGAUUCGAUACGAUACGAUACGAUACGAUACGAUACCAACAUACUUUAAUUAUUUUGUACUGUGAAAUGUUAAAAAAAAUGUUGGCUAAAGUGAAAUUAGUCAAAGAACAAUGAAUGGUAGGUAUGAAAAACACUAAUAUAUUUAAUAUUGACCAUCUGAAAUGGAUGUAUGCUUUCUCUAAGUUGAAGUGGAGUGAUAUUUUGACACCCAGUGGUCACAGUAAUUCAUUAAAUGAAGCUCCUGACGCAGUAAGCUGAAUGAUGCAGACAUGUUUGUUACUGGAUACUUUCUAAUACACGUCUGUGUAAGUAAUAUGUAAGUACAAUUAUUUGAUACUUGUUUAUAUUGAUAAAUGUGCUCUUUUAGACUGCAAUAUUGUUCAAUUAAGGACACUUAUUACAUAUGUCUAGCUUGUGUGGUAUUGUGUGCUUAGCUGUUGUGUAGCUGCUAGGUCCUAGCAGCCUGUAGCCUACCAUGUUUACCUUUUGUAAAUGACUUGACUAAAAUACAAGAAAAGAACAACCUUGUGUGCUUAUUGUAGGACAUUUAGAUGUUAACUGUAAACAAGUAAACACGCUGCAGGACUGCUUGUAUCAAAGAUUGUACCACACAGUUAUGCAAGCGCAUAUAUUCCCAUACUUGUUUUUUGCUGAUACCUCAGCGAUAUUCAAUUUCAAUAAUGGAUCGGGACAGCCCUAGAAAAUGUUUCCACCUUCCAAUAAUUUCCACCAGAAAGACCAGAAUUUCCCCCGAUCAAUGUUCAAAUGCAAAUAUGAACCGACUGUCCACUGUAAGGUACUUGCCAAUAUUUUCAUUUUUAAAUGAGAGAAAAGACGGGAGAGAAAGAAGAGCACAAAACUCCCAGAGAAAAAGUUCAAAGGUAGUCUCCGUCAUAAGUGUCACCUAAGCACCGUGACAUGUCACUUAUCAGCUGUACUUUAGUGGCGUGGAAUAUUUAAGAAAUUAAACAUUCACUCAAUAAGAAAACAAAAUUAGCCAUUGUGUUCUCUACGCAUCCUGUCACAUUCACCUCACCUCCAUGUUGUCUUUUCAUAUCAACUUCAGGUUGUCUGUGUAAAACCACCGGGAGGGUUCAAACAGUGAGAAAAAGCCACCUCGCAAACAUUUAACUCUCCUAAAUAAAAAUGUGCUCCCUUGCCUGUCUGCAUAGGAACAGGAACUACACAUACAAUUUGUAGCGUCAAAUCAUGCCCAUUUAGUACAAAAAUCUAGUUUGAAAUGCUGUGAACACACAAAUGUAGAAGAGGAGCAGAAGAAGAAAGAAAAGAGAAGCUUGAGGAAUGAGUGGUUGGUACCGUUAGUGAGUGAUAAUGGUUGUUUGGCUAGUACUGUACUGUACUGUACAUUUGACUGCAAUAUCGUCACAAGGAGGGAAGAUGCUAAGAGCAAACUAACGCGUCUGAAGAUGGCGCUAUAUGACAGUGUGUGGGAACAAUGAUGGUAAUCAUUUAUCUUGCUUAUUCAGCUUGUACAUGAGUAUUGUCUCUUUUGGUAAACACUUUAAUAACACUAUAAAUGUUAGCUAACGGAAGUGUUUUUCCCGCUCCCUCAGCGUAUUGUCAUUAUUUGAUUUUGUUUUAGAGGGACCGAUGUCUUGGAGGAGGCGCGCUCUCUCUCUCUCUCGCUUUUGUCAUGAUGAUGAUGAGAUGGUCGUCCUUCAGGAUGGGCUCUUCAGCUCUGCAUGUCAGGAGAAAGGAGAGGGGAAGAGCUGCAAUCAGCAUCCGUGAAUUGACAACCUUGCCUAUAUUUACAUAUUGACCACGCCCCCUCAUCAUUGGAAUAAUCCUCAAACCAUCAUCAACACAGUGCAACCUCUACACAACAAUACUUCUGAGACACUUGUGUGGGUGUGGAAACCGUUCCCGUCCCUACAAAAUGGAAAUGGAAAUAAUCUGUUACAGGGUCAAACUGGCCAUGGUAACCUUUAUUUACAAUUUAGGCAACCUCUGAAGUCUUAUUUUCACAACUGAAAUGGAAAUACUUGUGUAAAAUAAGGAGUAUCCUUCACUAUAAAGUCACACGAGUGUAAACAGAAGUGAACCACAGAUACAAGUCAAACCUUGAUACAAGUCCAACACUAUUUUCUUCUCUUAACACACGAAUGUCUGCUUAAAAAAAAAGCCGAAGAAAAAGUAAAAACGCAGACACUGCGUUAUUUUUUAGCUCUAGUCAAGUCAUGUGUGACAAUUUUCCUACUUUGGAAGCCUAAUUUUCCCCCCAAAAACCUCAAAAAUUUUAACACCCCAGGGCCUUUAGGCUUUAAUAUUAUAUUAGCUACGAUAGAAUUAUAUAUAAAUAUAAUUGUACGGAUCCUAGGGCGUGUAUUUUUGGGAAAACUAUCCAAAUCAAUGAAUGACUUCAUUAAUCAAAAUGAAUGAAUUACAAAUGAUAGCAGCACAGCAUGCAGAGUGAAAAACUGGGAAAAAAAAUACAGUUACAAUUAAAAAGCUGUGAAAAUACUUAGAGGUUCCACUGUAAUGGUACUAAUAUUAGAUUUUCUAAUAUUAUUAUUGAUGUUAAUGAUGCAAAUUAUUCUUAGUAUUACUAUUGAUGUUUUUUUAUGAUGCUAAUAUUACCAAAUACUAGUACAGGUAAAAUACUUACUAUUUUAUUAUUGUUUAUGUUAACAUUACCAAAGAUUAUUAGUGUUGAGGUUAAAGGUGCCAUAUGUAAUAACGUGGCCAGAAAUUAUACUGCAAUCACAGUCAAAAUUGUGUAGUCCCCUCCCUCUCUCCCUUGACUGAGGUUGCCAGAUACGCAGCCGAAUCCAGCUCAAUUGACUGGGCGAUUCCAAGGAACUUCAAACUUCCACUGUCUCUUACUCGGGAUUUAAGUGCUGGGACCAUAAUAGCUGACCAGACAAGAGUUUUGUCAAUAACAAAUCUCUAACCAACACAUUUUACACGGAAUUUAGGCUAUUUUCCGGAAGAAGUACGUUAUGCCUGCGUACAAUAUCACAACAAAUGGCAAUCAUAUGGUUAUUGUCAGUACUAUCAGAAAACAAAGACUAAAACUACAACCAACGCUAGCAAUGGUUAUACUGGGGAAAAUAAGUAGAGCAUGCUUAGCAGCCUAAUGUACGCCCAAAACUAAAGAGACAUUUUACCAAGGUAUGCCUAUAGGCUAUACAAAUGAGGAAUUAUUUAAUAAUGUGAUUUGGCUGUCUCCAUACGUUUCGCAUUGCCAUGAUGACAGUUGUGCUAAUGUUGGAACCCAUUUCCUCAGCGUAUCAGCAUAUUGAGAACGAAAUAGGCACUGACACUACCCAUAUCCACAUAGGUUUUAUUUGUCGAAAAUAUAUUUUGCCCUGUCAGUUCAAAUACACAUUGACAUACAGGCUAACGGGCAUAUAUUUCCCCCGUUAGCCUAUAUGUCGAUGUUAGCAUGCUUAACAUUGCACUAGGAGCGAAGCACCAUCACACAAACUUACUAACCUUGUUAGAAAAGAUCAUAGACUGUAUUGGACAAUACAGUUUACAUACGAAAUGUCCAUUUCCAUUUAUUACAAGUAAUAAGAAAACGUAAAUGCCUAACUUACCUAUCAAGGAGGAAAUUUGGCGUCAGAUGAAAAAAUCUUAUCAUCCUUCAAUCGUCUCCAUCUUUUGAAGGCAUCUCUGAUACAAAUCCUAAUUUUGUUCCUGGCUUUGUCAUGAAUAAAUUGAGAAUCGUAACAACGCCUUUUAGAUUUACUAAGAUCUGACAUGUUUAGUAACUUUACCAGUGGCAGUAGCCAGACGAAGAGGGGGGUGCGUAACCGGCAACCUGGAUGUGACACUCUCACGGACUUUCUAAUUGGUCAAAGGGUGGAGGGCGGGACAUCGAAAUGAAAACAAUAACAAGAUUUUGGGGCUGUAAAUUUAAUUUUGAAAUGAGCAUAUUCCGGCUGAACUACUGUUAUCAGUUAAAGAAAUAUUAGAAAAAAAACAUGUUUUAUUAAUGCAUUUUGACAUAUCAGGGCCAUUUAAUGAUGACUUGACAUGCAAUUAUUACAUAUGGCUCCUUUAAUGAUAAUAACAUUAGCAAAAACGUACUAUUACUUUAAUUCACAUUAAUGAUGCUAAUAUUAACAAAUAGCAGUACUGUAUUACUACUGUUGUUAAUUAAGCUAAUAUUAGCAAAUAAUUGCUACUAUCGUUAUUGAUGUUAAUGAUGAUAAUAUUUGCAAAGGCUUACUAUAUUAUUGAUGUUAAAAUGAGCAAAGACUUACUAGCAUUAUCAUUGAUGUUGAUCCUAAUAUUAACUAACACUUAUGAGUAUUAUUUUUGAUGUUAAUAAUGCUAAUAUUAGCAAAUACUUACUAGUAUUACUAUUGAUGUUGAUGCUAAU